AUGGUUACCGGAUUGUUUGUUUUGUUUACUUUCUUUCGGCUCGAUUUUGACAAUGUCUGGAUAGAAUCUGAAUAAUUACGAAAGAUAAAGACGAAAGAUGUGAUUGAUGACUUGCAAAAAUGUUGUUUGAGUGAAAAGGAAGAAUUUUGACUAUGAAUUCAAGCAUGAACACUGUUCGUUACGCCGGAGAGUGACAAUUUGUCGUUACGGCUCAAGGCUCCUGGCUCCUGCCUCCUGUUGUACGAGGCUCUGCUGGCGGUACGCGGCUGACUCAGGCUCAGGCCGUUAGCGCUGGAAGAAGGAGGAGGAAUGGAGGAGAAAAUAUAGAGGACUGAGAGCCCGUGAACGACGUUUCUUUUGACGGCGCGCGAACAUUAGUAACGACAAAUUUCAAGAAAGCGACUUCAAGAACGGCAGCGGAAACGGCGAGUUCUCCUGCGCCAUCAGACUUCAAGUUCUACAACGCGAUAAGUGCCACAAUGCCACUAGUUUCAGCAGCUUGCUUUGAUGCUGUCGCCAUUUGCGCAUUGCAUUGCCUACCAGAUAAACUCUUGCUUUGAAAAACACUAUUCGUCAGUGUUAAUGUUCGUGGAACAUUCGCGUUUGUUGACUGUUGCCGUUGGUACGACUGGCAGCCUGCACCGACUGCACCAGAAGUACGAGUGUACCAUUGGUACUAAAUGGUACUGAUGAUCAGUGUUGCCAUGUUGAACUGUUGCCAUUGGUACAAGUGCAGUGUACCCAUGUUGUGCAUAGAACGGUGUUGCCGUUGGUACGUUUUGCAGCAUGGCCAGAUAUAACCUGAUCGACGCAUGUUGUGUACGGUACGGUGCUGCCUUACAUUUUGCCGCCAGGGAAUGUGAACUUUGAUGAUAGGCUUGAUUUGGUACAACAUGAUGUUGCCUUGGUACGUUUCACAGCCAGGCAAUAUGAGCUUUGACAA